CGGGCGGCGCCGUCCCACUGGGGCCCACCGGCUCCGGCAGCGCCUUCCCGGCCCUGGUCCUCGGCGGCCUUGACCGGAGGCCUCCUUCUGGCCCAUAACCUUGGAGCUGAGGGAAGGCCUUCAAAAUUUGGGAGAAGCCAGAUGUGGUGGCCACAUGCCUGGAAUCUCAGCAACUGGGGAGGCGGAUGCAGGAAGAUUGCAAAUUAGAGGACAACCUCAGCAACCCAACAAGAUCCUAUCUCUAAAUGAUGCUGGGAUGGAACCCAGGGCCUGUGCAGGCCAGGCCAGCGCCCUCCCGUGGAGCUCUGCGCCCAGCUCGCAGCUUCAGGUUUAAAUGGGACGAAACAGCUCUCUGCGGGAAGAGAAUGUGCUGAGGACCUUCAUCUUAAAAGACUGACCCCCGCUGCUGGAGCGGAUGCCAGCGGAGGUUUAGCUGCACUGCUGUCUUCGUCCAAACUGCAGCUCUUUUGUCUGGGUUCAGAUGAAAAAGCUGCACCAGACCCCAGCGGUCUGACGGGCGAUCUUCCCCUAAGCGCUGUUUCUGUGUGCCACAAGCAGGUGUCAGGUUCUUGAGGAACACGUUUAUCGCAUCACAGUGGAGAUGCCCAGCGUGUGUCUGGCGGGCACACAAUGAGCUUGUUACCAAGGCAGGGCAGCCUGCGGCAGGCUUGAUUGCAGGGAGGGGCAGGAAGGGAGAAAUCGCUCUCAGCCAUUUCCAUUCCAGGUGAGAUAAGGAAGGAGUGUUACCAGGGUCCAGGCAGACCCAGCCAGCCACCUGUACCCCUGCGGUGCCCCAGCAGCUCUUUGUGUCCACACAAAACCUCAGAAGCCCCAUGCCCACCCAGGGUGUCUCCCUCCCCCUGUGUCCUGUGACUAUCCGCACCCCACCAGCGCGUGCCAUCUGGUCAUCAGAACCCAACUCUGCAAGGUGGGUAGGGAGGAGGGGGAGAGGCCCUUCUAAGUCAGUGCUCUUGCUCCUGGAGCUGGGGACGUACUCUGUCAUCAGUUAAGUUCGGGACCAAGCUUCUGACAAGUGCCCCCUGGGCAGGGGAGUGGCUGAUCAUGUUCUGACACACCUCAAUAUGACCAGGUGGUUAUAUAUUUUUUCCUAGGAAGAACAGAGUUUGACCUUGCCUAUCAGAGAACACAAGUGUACAAGGAGGGUGUGUGUGUACCUGGGAAUCACGGACAGAAAGCAUGGCAGCCUGGGUGUCACCAGGCUUUGCGGAGACCAGGCAGCUCCUGUUGACCACGUGUCACCCAGGGUGGACGCUUCUUUGUGUUUAAACUUCACUACUUUUAUAUUGUGGUUAAAAACCACAUACCAUAAGGCUUACAUCAUCUUAGCCAAAUUAAAGGUUCUGUUCAGGGCUGGAGCGGGGGGUAGCUCGGUGGUAUAGCACUUUCUUAGCAUGCAUGUGGCCCUGGAUUUGAUCCCCUGCACUGCAAAAAGCAACAAUAACAACAACAAUAAACAUAAUGUUAGGUGAACAAAGCCAGGCAGAAAAAAGCGUCACAUAUUGUACAAUUCCAUUUAAAUGAAAUUCCAGAAUAGAUCACUCCUUACAGACAGAAUGCAGAUUGGUGGUUGCAGGGGAAUGAACAGUGACUGCAGAGGGACACAGGUUUUCCUUUGGGACGAUGAACUAGAUAUAGUUGCAAUUGCAAAACAUCAGGAAUAUAUUAAAUGCCCUUGAACUGUUCAUUUAAAACUGUUUAAUUGUAUUAUGUGGAUUUCAUCUGAAUAA